rnacentral:siRNA from 1 species
CGUUGACGAAGCAUGUAGGAGCUG